rnacentral:rRNA from 1 species
UACAAUUGAUGUAAUUUAAUAUUUUUGGUUCAUAGAAGUUAAGGAUUUUAAUGAAAUUAUUUUAUAAAUUUUUAGGUGAAAUUUAAAUUAUAUUUAAUUUUAUUUCGUUUCUUUUAAAAUUAAAAUAUAAACUAGGAUUAGAUACCCUAUUAUUUUGAUUGUUAAAAAUUUCCUGGGUAGUAAUAGUUAUUUUCUUUAAACCCAAAGAAUUUGGCGGUGUUUUAUUCCUUUUAGAGGAACUUGUCCCAUGAUCGAUAAUCCACGUUUUAUCUUGCUUAAUUUAAUUAGUAUGUAUAUCUCCGUUAUAAGUUUAUUUUUUUAGAACUAUUUACUUGAUAAUUUAUUAUUUAUUAUUU